rnacentral:rRNA from 1 species
GAUGAACGCUGGCGGCGUGCCUAAUACAUGCAAGUCGAGCGAACGGACGAGAAGCUUUCUUCUCUGAUUUUAGCGGCGGACGGGUGAUUAACACGUGGAUAACCUACCUAUAAGACUGGGAUAACUUCGGGAAACCGUAUCUAAGACCGGAUAAUAUUUUGAACCUCAUUGUUCAAAAGUUAGAGACGGUCUUUCUGUCACUUAUAGAUUGCUCCGCGCUGCAUUAGCUAGUUGGUAAGGUAACGGCUUACCAAGGCAACGAUGCAUAGCCGACCUGAGCGGGAGAUCGGACAGCUGGGAAGUGAGAAAGGGCACAGACUCCGACGGGAGGCAGCAGUAGGGAAUCUUCCGCAAUGGGCGAAAGCCUGACGGAGCAACGUCGCGUGAGGGAUGAAGGUCCUAGGAUCGUAAAACUCUGUUAUUAGGGAAGAACAUAUGUGUAAGUAACUGUGAACAUCUUGACGGUACCUAAUGAGAAAGCCACGGCUAACUACGUG